rnacentral:rRNA from 1 species
GUAACACCGGCGGCUCGAGUGGUAACCGCUGUUAUUGGGUCUAAAGGGUCUGUAGCCCGCCGGGUAAGUCUCUUGGGAAAUCUGGCAUCUCAAGUGUCAGGAUGCCAGGGGAUACUGGUCAGCUUGGGACCGGGAGAGGUGAGAGGUACCUCAGGGGUAGGGGUGAAAUCUUGUAAUCCCUGAGGGACCCCCAGUGGCGAAGGCGUCUCACCAGAACGGAUCCGACGGCAAGGGACGAAAGCCAGGGGCACGAACCGGAUUAGAUACCCGGGUAGUCCUAGCCGUAAACGAUACUCGCUAGGUUUCGGGCACGGUGCGACCGUGGUCGGUGCCGUAGGGAAGCCGUGAAGCGAGCCACCUGGGAAGUACGGCCG